UAAAGACUCCUUUGGGGAGUAUAAGGGGAAGCAGGGGAGAGCGGGAGGAGACUGGAAGGUGAGGGCUGAGGUGGCCUGGAGCACCGUAGUGAAGGGUGACGAGGUGAGCUGAAGUUUCUGGAAAAGAGCCCGAGACUUCUGACGUUUCUGCAUGUUUUCUGCUGGUUCUUGCUUGCUCUUUGUUCUUGUGUCCGGUGCUGGGUGCUCCCCUUGCCACAGGGGUCACGGAGAGCCUGGUGUAGAGCUAGGACUGUGCCCCAUGGGCGGUGCAGGGGUUUGCGUUGGUGAGCAUUGUCUGUGUGGAUAACAAAAAGGACUCUCCUGCUUACUGCCCUAGGAGGCAGAGCAUUAUGUGGGAUUUCUUUAGUCUUCAGUAAAGAUCUUCAGUGAGUUACCUACCAUGGGAGUCGGGAUAUCAGCAGCCUCCAAAGUCAGUAAAGAAAGAAAUAAAGUAACUGUUGGGCCAUCAGACUGGAUGUCAGUAUCAGCCACAGGGAGAUGGAGUAAUGCUCCUUACUGUUGGAAGGAAGACUCACCUCCAUACAGAUCACUAUUAGAGGUGUGCUGGGAGCAUGAUGAGCAAAAGACUCCCUGAAUGCUGCUACAAAGCUGGUUGGACAUCCUACCUUGGUUCCAGUCCAGUUUUGAACAGAGGCUUGUCCACUCACACUCAGCAGUCACUUGGGUAAUGGGAAUUCUUUAAUUUCCUUACAGGGCCCCUUAGUAAAAGUCUAGACACAAACUGCACCUUUGAGUUUAGAGUCUGCCUCCAUUGUUAAAAAAUGUCUUCUCCCCUUCUGCUAACAAUCAACAGUGGUUUAACACUUCUGUAGUACUUCUUUACCAUGAUAACAACAGCAACUUUUUGAGAUGUCAUUUAACAUAUAUCCCUGAAUAAUUGAUCAAAAGUAGUAGAUAAAAAUAUUAAAAUUAUGUUUACAGCACCAACAUAAAGCAAAGUAAUACAAGACCCAGCAUAUCACAAAUGAACAUUGUGUAGCUGAGAAAGGAAAAAAAUGGAAUUUAGUACUCCAGGAAAUAAAAAAGUUACACUUCCUUAUCAUCAAAAGCUUUAAUAACCUUGUUAACAAUUACUUUGAGCAGUUCAUGUGAGAAUGUCUAAAAUUAAAAAGCAGUAGUGAGCUUAAAGCUAUGUAAAAAGUCUUAUCAAGACUGUUAUCAAUCAUUCAAACAAAGUAGCAAAUGUUACCAUUUUAUAAACUGGAAUGCCAAAGAGAUUUCUCUUAGAAGACCAUACAUUUGCUAUAACUUUAGACAUGAUGUGUUUUAUUAUUAUAAUUGUCAGAUGGUAAAUUCUGUCUCUUUUUUCUUUUUCAAGAUAAUACACUUAGAGAUGGCUGUUCUAUAAAGAGCAGAGUAUUUAGAAUGUGUGCAAUAAAUUUCAAGGCCCUUCAGGAACAUGAUAUUGUCUCAGUUGGAAUGGGUGGGAAGAUUCACAUUGACUCUGCUGUGCAUAGGGCUGCACUUUUAACCCUGGCUAAAUUUAAUGAUAUUCCCAUAAAUCACCAAGUCCAGGCAUUGUAGCUCAGCUCACACAGGCAGAUCCUCAGCUCCAGAGAUCUGAUUAAGUAACAGGGCUAGACAUCAGUACUGAUCUUGUGUGAUUGGAUUACAGGAUUGGAGCUGUGAUUUGUCCUACUGAAACCACUCUAAGGUACUUAAACAGAUAAAUCCUCCUAUCAGAUUUCUUUUCUUAUUGAUUACACUUUCUGAAAUGCAAAAAAAAAAAAAAAAAAGAAAAGAAAAAGAAAACAAACAACAAGAAAAAAACCCCAGUCUUGCUUUCUCCACUUAGUAUUACGAUAAGGUGCAUAUAGGGCUGGAAGGACAACAGAAAUACCUCUAAGGCAGUAAUAGUAAAAGUGUGAUUUUCCUUUUCUACAACAAAGUUGUAAAAUAUUUGUGCUUUUUUUAUUUUCUCUGAGCCCAUAUCCAGUUAAUCCCAACCUCCCUGUGUGAUCUGAACUACUUGACAAUUUCUGUUAUAAAGGAAAAUCAUGUCUAGGUUGCUUUCUAUCUCAAGUUUUAAUUCAUACCUUCUCAUCCCAUGUUUCUGGUAAAAUAACCUAUCUAAUUAAACCACUAAUAUGUUCAAAACA